rnacentral:rRNA from 1 species
CCUACGGGAGGCAGCAGUGAGGAAUAUUGGUCAAUGGGCGCGAGCCUGAACCAGCCAAGUCGCGUGAGGGAAGACGGUCCUAUGGAUUGUAAACCUCUUUUGUCGGGGAGCAAAAGACGCCACGCGUGGCGUUCCGAGCGUACCCGAAGAAAAAGCAUCGGCUAACUCCGUGCCAGCAGCCGCGGUAAUCCGGAGGAUGCGAGCGUUAUCCGGAUUUAUUGGGUUAAAAGGGUGCGCAGGCGGAAGAUCAAGUCAGCGGUAAAAUUGAGAGGCACAACCUCUUCGAGCCGUUGAAACUGGUUGUCUUGAGUGAGUGAGAAGUAAGCGGAAUGCGUGGUGUAGCAGUGAAAUGCAUAGAUAUCACGCAGAACUCCGAUAGCGAAGGCAGCAUACCGGCGCUCAACUGACGCUCAUGCACGAAAGUGUGGGUAUCGAACAGGAUUAGAUACCCCGGUAGUC